rnacentral:rRNA from 1 species
AUGGCCUCGCUGCCAAUCCCCGACGAGCUAUCGGUGGAGAUAUUCCUCCGCAUUCCCAACCCAGCCGACCUUCUCCGCGCCUCCGCCGCCUGCGUCUCCUUCCGCCGCCUCAUUGCCGACCGCUCCUUCCUCCGGCAGUACCGCAAGCUCCACGCUCCGCCUCUUCUCGGCCUCCUCGACCACGAACGCAAAGUCUUCUACCCCGCGGCCCCGCCUCACCCCUCCGCGCCGGCAGCCGGCGCCGCGGCCCUAGCUGCCGACUUCUCCUUCUCCUUCCUCCCGGCCCCCACCACCGAUUGGCGCGUCCAGGACGUCCGCAGCGGCCGCGUCCUCCUCGGCAGAGCCCCCCAGCACGGCAUCGAUAAUAGGCACAGACUGGUCUUCCCGGAGCUGGUGGUGUGCGACCCCUUGUACCGACGGUACCUCAUGCUUCCCCCAAUCCCUGCCCACCUAGCCGCUACGGUGAAGCGUUCACUCUGGAUAAAACUGCAUCGUUACUGCGAGACCUUCCUCGCUCCCCCUAGCGACAUCGACGAAGAGACGUCUUUCAGCGUGGUCUGGAUGGCACAGUACAAUGCUAAGCUGUUCGCCUUUGUCUUCUCUUCCAGCACAGGACAAUGGCGAGCCAUUUCGUCCCUGAGCUGGAGUGAUUUAUUACCUGGCUUGCUAUCGUUGACAGGGUUGGCUCUGUUCUCCGGGCGGCAAUAGGCCUAUGGGCUCUUCUAUUGGGUGACAGAUUGGAGGGAAAAGUUUCUGGUGCUUGACUCCUGGAGGAUGAAGUUCUCCAUUGCUGAACCCCCACCUGAGAUGAGAUAUUUACACGGUGUGGAUAUAGCCAUUUUGGAGGCAGGGGAAGGCAGGUCCAGGAUGUUUGUGCGUACCAGAGGCACAAAUUACCUCAGCUAUACCACUAGGCGAAACAAAUUGGGGAGUUCCAUCCAGUGGCAGUUGGAGAGGACAAUCUCACUGGAUUCUGGGCAUGUGUUGAUCGGUUCAACAGGGAGGCACUUAAAGCUCAUCGCUCGAUCGAGCCUUUUUCUCGCUGGAUGCCAGGACAUUCCAGCUUGA